AUCACAAUGGCCUCCAGGAUUGUGAGUGGCCUCUGGGAGCUGAGGGAAGCUUCCAGUUGAUGUCCAACAAGAAGCUGGGAUCCUUAGUCCUACAGGCAAAGGACACAAAUUCUGUCAACAACCUGAGUGUAUUCCUGGUCCUGCUCAGUGCUCUGGCAGGGUGAACCUCUACUGAUUGCAUCAAUUUGCUCCCUUUUCUCUGGCUUCUCAAUGGGUUCAGCCAAUGGGAGGCACCAGCAGGAAAUCAAAGAAUGGAAGGCAAGAGAAGGCUGCAUUCAAGAGCAUGUAAGCAUCUAAUGUGCAUGCACUGAACUUCUUCAAGGGACAAGAACCUGGCUCCUGAGGCCUGUGGGCUUCCACUUGACACCAGGAAUUCUAAAGUGCCCACACUCAAAAGAAGUCAUUCUCUUCCCCGGUGUCCUGAUUGAAAAAGUGGAUAGCAGAGAAAAGAUUUGAAUCAUGUACUAGUUUUGAAGAGUCACAUUGGAAAAUGUGCUGUAUCCAUUAACCUUUUUGCAAAGAGCAGAAGGUAAAGCCAGCCUCUGUGUUAUGAGGACACUCCAGCAGUCCUAUGGAGAGGAUCAUGAGGAGGGAAACCAAGAUCUCCAGAGGAACAGACACCCCCUGACAACAUCCAGGGGAGUAAGCUGGGAAGCAGAUUACCUGGUCUUGGUCAAGACUUCGUAUGACUGCAAUCCUGGCCAGCACCUUCACUGCAACUUCAUGAAAGAUCCUAGACCAGAACCAUCCAGUUAAGCUGUCCUGUUUUUCCAACCCAUGGAAAUAAUGAGAAAAUAAAUGUUUGUUGUUUUAGGUCAUUCUAUUUUGGAAUGAUUUAUCAUAUAAUAAUCAAUAACUAAUACAGUACCAGGGGCAGGUUUUAAUUUGGAAUGAGUGUAUAGGAAAAUAUAAAGAAUAUGGUCAGAAAAAUUUAUCUUUUAUCCUUUAUUUUUUUUAUAUAUAGAAAUUAAUAGGCAUUAUGUAGAGAAAAUAGGAACACUUUUCAUGGGGUAUUUGGGUUGCAAAGUCAGAAAAUAUAACUCACACUUAUGUCAUCAUCGUUAUAAUUCUUACCAAAUACUAUUAAAAAUAAACUAUUUCAAAUAGUACUCUUGUAUUCAAUGACUUUUAUAAAGCCAUUGAAUAACAUAUCCCAGCUCUUAGGAACUCACAGAAUAUAGCAAUCUCUAC
rnacentral:lncRNA from 1 species